UAAUAAUAAUAGUAAUAAUUAUUUAAGUAAUAAGACGGUACUUAUAAAGUUUAGUAAAUAAGUGAAUAUACAUAGUUCCGCAAUUAUUAUGGUUAACGAGUCAACCUUAUAACUAUAAUAAUAACAUAUGAGGAAUGUUACGAUAUUAAUCGUCUCGUUAUCAAUUAUUGGUUAGAUUAAGGAAAAAGGGAUAUUACAAGCCUCCCCCGACUAUCAAAGUUACUAAGCAGGAUUUGAGGUAAUGACGGGGAUGACGGAAUGGCGUAGCAGUGAGGAAUAAUUACUACUUAAAUUAUGCAGACUCUUAUUAAUAUGUAUUCUAAGCUUGAGAACAUUAGUUUAUGAACCUUAAUUAUGUUUCACCUAGUUAUUUACGCAUUUCUAAGUUAGUUAUGAAGUUUAAUAUUUAUAAAGUUACGUUCUUUAA